AGCAGCCGCGGUAAUUCCAGCUCCAAUAGCGUAUAUUAAAGUUGUUGCAGUUAAAAAGCUCGUAGUUGAAUUUCGGGAUCAGUUGAUCGGUCGUGCCUCGGUACGUACUGGUCAAAUUGAUUCCUACCUUCUGACGAACCACGAUGUCAUUAAUUUGGUGUCGCGGGAAAUCAGGACUGUUACUUUGAAAAAAUUAGAGUGUUUAAAGCAGGCUCGCGCUUGAAUACAUUAGCAUGGAAUAAUGAAAUAGGACGUUUGAUUCUAUUUUGUUGGUUUCUAGGAUCGACGUAAUGAUUAAUAGGGAUAGUUGGGGGCAUUAGUAUUCAAUUGUCAGAGGUGAAAUUCUUGGAUUUAUUGAAGACUAACUACUGCGAAAGCAUUUGCCAAGGAUGUUUUCAUUAAUCAAGAACGAAAGUUAGGGGAUCGAAGACGAUCAGAUACCGUCGUAGUCUUAACCAUAAACUAUGCCGACUAGGGAUCGGAUGAUGUUAAUUUUUAAUGACUCAUUCGGCGCCUUACG
rnacentral:rRNA from 1 species